UCUCCGUUGGUGAACCAGCGGAGGGAUCAUUACAGGAUCGAAAGACUCCUAUACCCCUGUGAACUUACUACAAAUACGUUGCUUCGGCGGGUGCCCCGGGUCUCCCGGGGCGUUCAGCCCGCCGGCAGCCUUCAAAUUCUGUUUCUUUGCGUUGGCAUCCCGAGUAUACAAAAAUAAGUUAAAACUUUCAACAACGGAUCUCUUGGUUCUG
rnacentral:misc_RNA from 1 species